UUUCCCACGACCUCGGCGCGACGCGCGCGGGAUCCAGUGGAGACUGCUUUCCCAUAGGCCGCCAUCCAGGGCGGGGAAGGGAGCGGACCCUCCCGGCUCCAGGUGCCUGGGCCCCCGGCGGCCUGCGGAGGCCUCGCCCCACGCCACCCGCCCACUGGCCUCGUCUUCGCGCGGGGAGAAAAGCAGCCUGAUUCGGAGGAACGGGUUGCUUGGGGCGGCUCCCAGCUCGAGUUGUGGGCCCCGCCGCGGGUGCCCUUCGGAAACGCGCUGACACCAGGCGAAGCCGCCUCUGCCCGGACGCAGCCCGACACUUGGCCCGCGGGGUUCCCCGGGACGCCUGAGAGUAAUGGGCGCGAGGGGGAAAGCCGAACGGCCUCCCUGUGCCCGGCGCAGGCGGUGCCCCCUAGCUGGGUUCGCCGCGGCGGCGCUGCGAGCCCCCGACACUGAGGACUUUUGGUCCAACAGUCCGACGGGGCCCGGUGCGCCGUUCCCUCCGCCCUCUCCCCGCUCCCCGGCCCGCGCGUCUUGGAGGGUGGGUGAAUUGUCGGAAGCACUCUACGCCUGGCCAACCCAAACCAGGAACCUCCGCACCAAACAGCCCACGUUGCUGCUGCUCUGGGGUUUUAACGGCCAAGGGAGACUGGAGAAGGGGUGUUCUGCCUUCCCAUUCUCUUAGGCCCGUCCACUCCCCAUCCCCACAGUUUGGAAGUGGCCUUUUCUGAGGACUCCAGCGCAAAGCAUGUUUCUCCUUUUGAGCUGCGGAAGCCUUGCUUGUUCCCGCCAUUGGGAGGGCAUUCCAUCAUCUGCAGCUGCCUUCCUCGGUGGGCCUUGUCCCUUAGCGUCCACCUAGGGGACAUUCUAAGC
rnacentral:lncRNA from 1 species